GUGACCCACAUACUUUAUGCGUUUGUCACCUGUCUCUGGCAUCUGAGGAUGAUGCUGUUGAGGAUGGUUACCACCUACAUGUGCAGUUAGAGCUACAAGUUCUGGCAGGAGUUAAAGAUGUAAACCAGAGGAGCCUGAGAAGCAGCCAGCCUUGGAGAGGAAAGGGAGCAGAUUAACCUGGAUCAUUUUCUGACAGGGUUUUCCUGAAUUUCUAAGGAUCUUGGUUGCUGUCUUAAAUGACACAUUCAGUCUUUGCUCAGUUGUCGUCUCCUUAUAGAAACCAAUCUAAACAUUUCCAGAGCAAGGAGAAAAAACCUCUAGGAUAAUAUUAUGGAGAAUUUCACACAAUGGCAAUCUGUUAGGAAAG
rnacentral:lncRNA from 1 species